rnacentral:misc_RNA from 1 species
UUUCCGUAGGUGAACCUGCGGAAGGAUCAUUACCUAGCGAACGCCUGCCUGGGCCGGGCCUUCGGGUCUACGCACUAGCAGGUGUAUCCACAACCCGUGUUUACAUACUCUUGUUGCUUUGGCGGGCCGUGGUCUCCCACUACGGGCUCAGCUCGUACGCGCCCGCCAGAGGAUUAAACUCUGAAUAUUAGUGAUGUCUGAGAACUAUAUAAUAGUUAAAACUUUCAACAACGGAUCUCUUGGUUCUGGCAUCGAUGAAGAACGCAGC